GAUGAAGAACGUAGCGAAAUGCGAUAAGUAGUGUGAAUUGCAGAAUUCAGUGAAUCAUCGAAUCUUUGAACGCACAUUGCGCCCCUUGGUAUUCCAUGGGGCAUGCCUGUUCGAGCGUCAUUUGUACCUUCAAGCCUUGCUUGGUGUUGGGUGUUUGUCUCGCCUCUGCGCGCAGACUCGCCUCAAAACAAUUGGCAGCCGGCGUAUUGAUUUCGGAGCGCAGUACAUCUCGCGCUUUGCACUCAGAACGACGACGUCCAAAAGUUCAUUUUUACACUCUUGACCUCGGAUCAGGUAGGGAUACCCGCUGAACUUAAGCAUAUCAAUAAGCGGAGGA
rnacentral:misc_RNA from 1 species